UACGGGGGGAGCAAGCGUUGUUCGGAAUUAUUGGGCGUAAAGAGCGUGUAGGCGGCUAGAUAGGUCCGUUGUGAAAACUCGAGGCUCAACCUCGAGACGUCGAUGGAAACCAUCUGGCUAGAGUCCGGAAGAGGAGAGUGGAAUUCCUGGUGUAGCGGUGAAAUGCGCAGAUAUCAGGAAGAACACCCGUGGCGAAGGCGGCUCUCUGGUACGUGACUGACGCUGAGACGCGAAAGCGUGGGGGAGCAAACAGG
rnacentral:rRNA from 1 species